UAACGCGAUCAAGAAUCACUGGAACUCAACGUUGAAGAGGAAAUACUUGACGAUGAUGGAAGAAGACGGAACUAUCGAUGCUGUUCAUCCAGCGGCGAAUAAGUUUGCCAAACUUGUGUCAACCUCCGAGAGUUAUUCUCCUUCGGGAUCUGACGUCAGCGAUGCGGUUUUGCCAAUUACAUCAUCUUCUUCAGAGCAGCAACAAAACUUGAAGGAGACGCCUUCUUAUCAGGUGAAACUAGAACAGCCUGGAGAAGAAACUCGAAGCAUAGAAAACGACGAAGUUUCGACGGAGCUCACAUUGUCCUUGCCAUGUGACGAAUCUGGAGAGUUGGCAAGAAAAUGCAGAGAGAAAACGAUAAUGUUUGGGGCGGAGCUGUUAGCGGUUAUGAAGGAGAUGAUAAGAAAGGAGGUAAGGGAUUACAUGACAGAGAUUGAGAAGAAUGGAGGAUUUAGUUCCAAUGGAUAAUGUGUUUAGAAGAUUAAUCAUAGAUUAGUUGCGUAAUUAACAGUUUUGAUUUCGAGAUUAAUAAGAAGAGGCUCGCUUGACUUCCCUAAAGGAAAAAGUUGUACAGAAGCAGAAGCUAG
rnacentral:misc_RNA from 1 species